rnacentral:rRNA from 1 species
GUGGGGAAUCUUCCGCAAUGGACGAAAGUCUGACGGAGCAACGCCGCGUGAACGAUGACGGCCUUCGGGUUGUAAAGUUCUGUUAUACGGGACGAAUGGUACGACGGCCAAUACCCGUCGUAAGUGACGGUACCGUAAGAGAAAGCCACGGCUAACUACGUGCCAGCAGCCGCGGUAAUACGUAGGUGGCAAGCGUUGUCCGGAAUUAUUGGGCGUAAAGGGCGCGCAGGCGGCGUCGUAAGUCGGUCUUAAAAGUGCGGGGCUUAACCCCGUGAGGGGACAGAAACUGCGAUGCUAGAGUAUCGGAGAGGAAAGCGGAAUUCCUAGUGUAGCGGUGAAAUGCGUAGAUAUUAGGAGGAACACCAGUGGCGAAAGCGGCUUUCUGGACGACAACUGACGCUGAGGCGCGAAAGCCAGGGGAGCAAACGGGAUUAGAAACCCUGGUAGUCC